CUCUCUAAAAAUAAAUAAAUUAAUUUUUUAAAAAAAGAAAUUCUAAAAGAAGACAAAGGUAUACUCCUUACCAUCAGAUCUUUAAUUACUCAAGUCCAUUGAAUCACCUUAAUAUUAGAAACACUAAAAUUUCAUCUUAACAACUCUUUGACUUUUCUGCAUUUGCUGGCAAAAAUCUUUGAUUGUCACUUUGACUAAAUGAGUAACUUUAAAGUAUUGUUAUCUAUGAUUUUACCUGAAACAUGUUUUAAAACUUUUGCUACAUUUCACAAACUCCCCAAGAUUCAAACUUUAAAGAGCGUCACUUUCUUGACCUGGGACAUUUUUAAGAACUUCGGAGUUUUUCCAGAAGGACCCCUGACAUACCUCCACGACUCAUUUUCCUCUUGAUAAAGGGAAACAUUAAACUUACUGGAUACAUCACUCCUGAGUCAAGCCUGCUUUCCUACCCAGUGAGAAUAAAGAACCAGAUCCACAGUACUCCUGUGGGUCCCUGUCCCAUCUCAAGCCACUACAAGGAACCCCAGAAGCUAUGGGACCCCAAGACUCAUUACUCAAGCAGCCAGAGAAUUUCAUUCCUCUAACUCAAAGACUUCAUCCAUCCAUCUUCAGCAGGAAGCAAUUACAGAAAUAUGACCCUCAAGCCCAUUCCCUCAAGAAUGAGAAAUAAAAAAAUCUCAGAGGGGAAUUCUUAUAUACAACAAGGGUCUCAAGGUCUGAGCAGUUCUUACUAAAUGCUAUUCUUGCUAGAUGUUAAAAUACAGCAUCAUAUUUUAUAGAUGCAGCAAUAAUAGAAGAGCUAGAUAGG